UACGUAGGGUGCAAGCGUUAAUCGGAAUUACUGGGCGUAAAGCGUGCGCAGGCGGUUUGUAAGUUUGUCGUGAAAGCCCCGGGCUCAACCUGGGAAUUGCGAUGAAGACUGCAAGGCUUGAAUCUGGCAGAGGGGGGUAGAAAUUCCACGUGUAGCAGUGAAAUGCGUAGAGAUGUGGAGGAACACCGAUGGCGAAGGCAGCCCCCUGGGUCAAGAUUGACGCUCAU
rnacentral:rRNA from 1 species